CACAUAGAGUGUGGAGAUUGGAGAGAGAGACGUACGCACAGACACAGAGGAGUUGAAGAGCAAACCCGCGGCAGGCAAUAUUAGUUUGGGCUGUUUACUCACAGUGUUGACUGUACGCAAUACGCAUCGCUAGCUUUUUUUGUGUUACCGAAGGAUACUUGGGCUUUGACAAAAGAUGAUCGCAGAAGUCUUGAUCUUCAUCGCUACAGUCUCUGUGCACGUUGCUGGUUUGGAGUUGGAGGCAACUGAUGGACAAGAUAUUACCAUACCCUUCGGAACUGUUAAACUGGAGCGAGUCAAUGAAGUGAAAGUAAUUUUUGAAGGAAAAGACCUGAAAAAAUCUUUAAUUGCAAGAUACUGUUCCCAUGUUUACACUGUUCCCAGCUGUAAACCCAAGAAAACACAUGGAGUCUCGCUGCAAGUUGAAGAAAGAAAUGUGUCCUUGAUUCUUCAAGAUGUCAACAUCUCCAGAUCAGGACUCUAUAAAGCACAGGCCUUCUUUGGAAAGCAAGUGCGUGAGGUCAUUGCCACACUUGUGGUCAACAAACCACCAUUUUCCUCCAGUAGAGCACCACCACACACCUCCACCUUGAAACCUCCCAACUCCUCUGAACACCAAGGUUUAUUAAUAGCUGCAGCCAUCAUCAUCAUCAUCGUCAUCAUCAUUUUUUGCUUCUUCUGGAAACGCAGGAGAAAAGUGAGUCAGCAGUGGAUGAAGAAGACACAGAAACCUCUGAUGUCUCCAGAUCCAAUGUCUGCAAAAGAAAGCAAUUGCAGUGAUUGUGUAGCAGUCUCCAUGAACAGUUGUGAUGAAAACACUGAAGCUCUGCACGCAGAUACAGGCCUGGUUUCACAGACAGGGUUUAGAUUAAGCCAGGAUUAGGCCUUCGUUCAGUUAGGACAUUUAAGUAGGACAACAGAGCUUCUGUUUGUUCUGUUACCUGUAAUGUGUGUGUGUUUUUUUUUUUUGUUUUUGUUUUUUUUCUUCAUUUUAUUACUAACUUUUCUUUAGGUUUCUUUCGCAGUGUUUACUUAACUGAACAGUAUUUAAAGGCUACAUGUAAAAAUCCUAAAUUAUUUAUUAUUUAUUCUAAUUAUUUAUUUACAGUCAUUAAUAGCAUUAAAAUUAACUUCUUCUUAUUAUUAUUAUUUAUUCAUUUUAUUUUUUUCUUCAAAUAGUUAAGUAAAAAGCAUUUUUUAUGGUACGAAAACUGGUACCGAAAAACAUGAUAUUUGACUGGACCGACUACUGAAAUUUUGGUGCCAUGAUAACUCUAAUUUAGGGGGCUUUCACACUGGGCUUGUUUGCUGCGGUAAGAGCCCGAGCGCGAUUGUUCCCCGUGCCCGGUCUGGUUUCACAUUCAACUAGAUUCAAUCGAACUCUGGUGUGUUUGCAUUCAUCUUAUGUCAUCACAAACAUGCAAGGCGCAUGAUAGAAAACGGAACGCGGGUCAAUAAAUUGUGUUUUUUAUUAAUGUGGCGCUAUUAUGUGCAGCAGAGUAACCAACACUUGUGUUUACUCUACGUGCGUCACAUGUAGACGGUUUUCCGCUGCUUGUAAGCAGACUAUUUUGAGGAGUCCGCUGAUUGCCAUUCAUUUGCCGCUCUGAUUGCACUCUCAAAGUGUGAAUACACUGCAGGCUCACUCCUGCUCGAAGGUAAAUCAACACUAUCAUCUCUUACAUGUAACACAUUAUAAUCAUCUAAAACGCAUGCACAGGUUACUUUACUUCCUGAACAAGUGUGCAUCCGAGUCCGUAUUGCUUUCAUAUUCGCGCGAACCGCAGCACAGUUUGAGUGCAACACCUCCUUCAGGUAGUCUCGGGUUCGGUACCCCGCUGCGCACCCGGGUUCGCAUGACAGCUUUCACAUUAGUGAUUUUUCGUGCGAACCGUGCCCCGUUUCGAACUAAACCGACAAUGUGAAUGCCCCCUUAGUAUCAUAUUCCAAUCGGAUAGAGAAAUAAUCUGAUUUGUACACAGUGUGAAUGUUGCCUUUGAAGCCAGUUAACCUGCUGAACUGUUCUUUCUUCAGCACAAGUAUUCAUAAUAUGAACAUACGGUAUUAAAGUGCCAGAGUUUAGUCAGGCAGGUUGCAUUUUCACAAGUGCAUUCCAGUUAUGUGUGCAAUAAUAUUAAUAAAUCAGUCAACUGACUGUGUUCCUGCUGUCUGUGGAUGAGAUUAGGUACUGUAUGAAGGGAGAUUCAUUCUAAAGAAGAAGAUUUGCAGCUGCACAUAAGAUUCAUCUGUAUUUCUGUGUGUGCACACAUUUGUAAGUGUAAAUAUUUUUUGCAUAAAUUUGUAUCCAAAUUCA